AGAGUUUGAUCAUGGCUCAGGAUGAACGCUGGCGGCGUGCCUAACACAUGCAAGUCGAGCGAUUCUCUUCGGAGAAGAGCGGCGGACGGGUGAGUAACGCGUGGGUAACCUGCCUCAUACACAUGGAUAACAUACCGAAAGGUAUGCUAAUACAAGAUGAUAUAAGAGAUUCGCAUGGAUUUCUUAUCAAAGCUCCGGCGGUAUGAGAUGGACCCGCGUCUGAUUAGCUAGUUGGUAAGGUAACGGCUUACCAAGGCGACGAUCAGUAGCCGACCUGAGAGGGUGAUCGGCCACAUUGGAACUGAGACACGGUCCAAACUCCUACGGGAGGCAGCAGUGGGGAAUAUUGCACAAUGGGCGAAAGCCUGAUGCAGCAACGCCGCGUGAGCGAUGAAGGCCUUCGGGUCGUAAAGCUCUGUCCUCAAGGAAGAUAAUGACGGUACUUGAGGAGGAAGCCCCGGCUAACUACGUGCCAGCAGCCGCGGUAAUACGUAGGGGGCUAGCGUUAUCCGGAUUUACUGGGCGUAAAGGGUGCGUAGGUGGUUUCUUAAGUCAGGAGUGAAAGGCUACGGCUCAACCGUAGUAAGCUCUUGAAACUGGGAAACUUGAGUGCAGGAGAGGAAAGUGGAAUUCCUAGUGUAGCGGUGAAAUGCGUAGAUAUUAGGAGGAACACCAGUAGCGAAGGCGGCUUUCUGGACUGUAACUGACACUGAGGCACGAAAGCGUGGGGAGCAAACAGGAUUAGAUACCCUGGUAGUCCACGCCGUAAACGAUGAGUACUAGGUGUCGGGGGUUACCCCCCUCGGUGC
rnacentral:rRNA from 1 species